GACGAACGCUGGCGGGGGGGGGAACACAGGCAAGUCGAACGGAAAGACCCUGCUUUUGUGGGGUGCUCGAGUGGCGAACGGGUGAGUAACACGUGAGUAACCUGCCCUUGACUUUGGGAUAACUUCAGGAAACUGGGGCUAAUACCGGAUAGGAGCUCCUGCUGCAUGGUGGGGGUUGGAAAGUUUCGGCGGUUGGGGAUGGACUCGCGGCUUAUCAGCUUGUUGGUGGGGUAGUGGCUUACCAAGGCUUUGACGGGUAGCCGGCCUGAGAGGGUGACCGGCCACAUUGGGACUGAGAUACGGCCCAGACUCCUACGGGAGGCAGCAGUGGGGAAUAUUGCACAAUGGGCGGAAGCCUGAUGCAGCAACGCCGCGUGCGGGAUGACGGCCUUCGGGUUGUAAACCGCUUUCGCCUGUGACGAAGCGUGAGUGACGGUAAUGGGUAAAGAAGCACCGGCUACCUACGUG
rnacentral:rRNA from 1 species